rnacentral:lncRNA from 1 species
UGCUGCUGAGAGGGAAACCAAGGUCAAGAGAGGAGAAGAGGUACAUCCAAGGUGCUCCAGUGGGUCAUGACAGAACCAGAACUGGCAUCUAGAUUCCUUGUCUCCUGCAUUCGGAUGGAAGCUUGUUGUGAGAAAGAAUUGCUUUAUCCUUUUUACUAGUCUCCGCAGUUCCUGGCACAUGGUAGGCAAUUAAUAAUACUUAUUAACUGAUUUCGUUGCUUGGAACUUUGAGUUUCCCAAAGAAUUGAUUUUGUUUCCUGUAACCGUAGAGAAGAGGGUUGGUGGAACUAAUUAUGCUCUCCUAUUACAUGGG